GACGAACGCNGGCGGCGUGCCCAAUACAUGCAAGUCGAACGAGAGCGACCGGUGCUUGCACUGGUCAAUCUAGUGGCGAACGGGUGAGUAACACGUGGGUAACCUGCCCAUCAGAGGGGGAUAACAUCCGGAAACGGAUGCUAAAACCGCAUAGGUCUUCGAGCCGCAUGGCUUGAAGAGGAAAAGAGGCGCAAGCUUCUGCUGAUGGAUGGACCCGCGGUGCAUUAGCUAGUUGGUGAGGUAACGGCUCACCAAGGCCGUGAUGCAUAGCCGACCUGAGAGGGUGAUCGGCCACAUUGGGACUGAGACACGGCCCAAACUCCUACGGGAGGCAGCAGUAGGGAAUCUUCCGCAAUGGACGCAAGUCUGACGGAGCAACGCCGCGUGAGUGAAGAAGGUUUUCGGAUCGUAAAA
rnacentral:rRNA from 1 species